UGGUAAAGAAAAAUGGGGUGAGAGGGGCGACCGGCGUAGCAACCCCCCAGGCGUGACCAUGAGAGCCGUUCUUCAUCCUCCCCUUCCCUCUUUAUUUCUUCUUUUCCUAAUUUGAACCACUUCCCUCCCACUUGCCACCGUUCCCUCUUCUCUCACCCAUCGACCCAACUCCUCCUCCCUCAUAGAGACGGCCUCUCGCUCUUCAUUGGGCACGAUCUCCUCUCAAGAACCGGGGAGUAGCAGCGCCGGCGCUCCAUCAACUUGGCAGUGGAAGUUGCGGUCCCCUGAAGAAGCAGCAGCAGCAGCAGAAGAAGAAGAAUCCACCGCGCCGCUUCCCAACCAAGAAAUUGGAGCCCCACGUCCACCCCGCUGGGUUCCUCUCCGAGACAGGCAUCUCCGACCGGGCCUUCGCUCAGUUCCUCCGUCAACGGGAUAAGGGCUGCAAGGACCGGAAAUUCGAGUUGUUUUCCCGUUUUAUAGUUUUGAUGAGGGCAUCUGCUGGGUGGGCUUAUGAUGAAUCUUGAUUUGGAGGUGUGGUGUAAUGCGGCUUCUUCUUGGUUGGAUCGAACAAGUACGUGAUAUUAGGGAUGCAUCGGCACUGGGAGCAUUGGGUGGGAUUACAUGGAGAGGGCUCCAGGAGGUACUUGACCUUUUUUUUUGGAGGCAAUGCGGGAAGCCAGAGUCCUUAAGAACGGCUAAAAACAAUACCAAUACUAUCUAAGGUUACAAGAAGCGGCAAGAAAUGUGGAAGAAUAGGAGAGAGAUAUUUAUGAGACUAGCUGGAUCUUGCGAUCCAGUCAGCAUGCUGGUUCUCUUCCCUUAAGACAUAACUGACAUCCAGGAGUGGAGAGAAAGCUUUGAGAUUCCAAAUGUCAACCAGAAGGGCAUGAGCUUCAAUGGUGUGGGAUGGUCCUUUAAUGAUCCAAUGCAUGAUGGUUGAGGAGUCUCAUUCAAGCCACAAUUUGAAACAAAAAGUGGGCGAGUGAUGCUGGAAGAUGGAGAGAAGAGGAGGUAACACAAGUGCACACUGGUUAAAAAGUUGAAAACUCACACCCUUAUGGAAUCACCAAGAAAGAGAACAAGAAUAAUAACUCCGUAAGAGGGAACUUCUGUUUUUGCAUAGAUGGGGAGCUCUAUUCUUCAUAAUGUUUUCCAAAUAUUCAUCCCUACAGCUACUAGGCAUAACUUUAAAGACAACCACCAAUCGAAAUAUUUUAAAUUCAUAUCGAAGUGUAACAGAGAGCUCAUGAGAUGUUCAUGGUUUUGGGAAUCUCUUGUGGACUUUACCUUGAGCCUUAAUUGACUGAACUUUUGGUUGUCACUCAGCAGUCUUGUUUGGGCUUGAUCCAUAAAUACCUCCAAUGUCAAUGUAAUAUCUAGAUGAGAGGCCAAAUUGGUUGAACUGUGUUCUCUAAGAUGCGACAUACAAGGGCAGACAAUUGCUGUUUUGUGGCAGCACAAAAUCUAGUCGAGGAUUCAAGAUGAAGCAGAUAUGCUUAGGAUCCAAGACAAGCAAAGGUCAUGGAAGAAGUAGUAAUGUGUCAAGAAGAAAACAGCCAAGUAAGAGAGGCCUAUCACUAGAUGAGUUUGUCUGAAAUUUCUGAGCAAGUCCUGAAGGCCUAAACUUUUGUCAUGGAGUAAGAAACUGAAGAAGAUGAUGAUGCUGUUAACUAGAAACAGAUCAUAGAGCAGGAGAAACAUCACCUCAACCACCAUCAUCAAUCAACCAUCACAGAAGAUUCAUAUGGAUCAAGUCUCUGAGUGUUAGAUGAUCAUCAAGCACCUCUGGCGCUUAAAGGCUAUACAAGCAAUAAAAGCUCUCUGUUGUUGAAUAGAUCAGAAUAGAGUGGGUCAUGGAGGCAAAUUGAACAGAAAAUAAGCAAAGAAACAUGAAGGUUGGAUCAAAGAGCAAGGCUAAAAGUAAAAGAAACAUGGUUUAUACCAUCCAGAUAAUCCUUAAUAUAUAAGAUAACCCAUGACAUGAUGAGGCUGGACGAAAAUGACUGAAUACUUUCAAGAGGUCUGUCAAAUGUUCACCAUGCGAAUGACUUUAGUAUGGUAUCGCAUAUGAAGCAAAUUGUAUUGGGGUUGAAGAAGCUGGGCAACAUCAGAUAUAUCAUUCAUCCUUCUAGUUGUGUUUUUCAUCAGAUAUCUUUUCUUGUGUUCUCAUGCAUGAUUUUUUCAGAACAUGUAGAGCAUUACAGACCAAGAAGUUUUUUUUUUUUUAAAAAAAUCCAAAUAGGUUGGUUUUGGUUAGGUUAUAUUUAAAGUAGCUCAGCUCCAGUAGGCUUCUGAAAGUAGUUCACCAAUUGACUGGCUAGGCUUCUCAUAGAGCUAGAGGAAAUACGUGCUGGUCGUUGACAUAAACCUUCGGCCAAAGAAGAACAAACUUGGGUCCAUCAUUUGACCGGGAAUCUGAGACCAAUGGCUGAGGAUUCUUGAAUCAAGAGUUAAGCACAAAGGGAAAUCUGGAGGGCUAUAGAAAUAGAAUUUGGCGUAGACAAUAUUUAACACUGAUGAAAUCAACUAUGGUGGGCAUGGCGAGCUAAAGAGUGAUCAGCAUCUUUGAAGAACCAAUACCAAGGGGAGUGAUGUUAUUGGAACUCCUUGGAGGUGGCAUUGCCUCGUAGAAGUGCUGAGCUUCUGAUCUGUAAGUGGUGGUGGAAACUACUUAUAGAACCUUCUAAGCCAUGGAAUAUAUUGAUCAAGGAGAGAUACUACAAGAACAGGGAGGUGACAAUGAAAACAGUAAAUCGAAAGAAACUCUCUUGCUUUUGGAAGGAUGUUCAGCAGGUUAAAUCACUAUUCCGUUCCUUUGUGAAGUUUAAAAUCCAAAAUGGUUUAUGUGCUAUGUUUGGGGAUGAUAUAUGGCUUCAAGAGCACUCUCUCAAGGAUAAAUAUCCAAGGAUUUACGCCUGCUUUCAUAAUAAAGAUAUGGUGGUUGCGGGAGCUAUCAAUGCUCUUGUGGAUUAUCACAGUUCGCCUCUUUACGCAAUAUCAGUGGCACUUUCAGAACAUCAGAAACUCAGACGGGAUCUGUCAACCAUCCACCUUUCUCGACAGCAGGAUUCAAUUGAAGGGAGGUGGUUUACAGCACAAAAUUUUCCGAUCAGGUUUUGCUGUAGAUUCCUUCUUGAUGAGGGCUGUGACAGUAUUAUUGUACAGUGAUCUGGAAAAUCAGUAUAUUGGAGAGAGUUAAAUUCUUCUCAUAUCUCGCAUAUCAGGACAAAAUCCUGACCAAAAACAACCUUUGCAAGAGAGGAUGGAAAGGAUCAGAUCGAUGCUCUUUGUGCAAUGCUUCUUGUGAGACAGUUGAUUAUCUAUUUUUACAAUGUCCAUUCGCUACAACGAUAUGUUGUUCACUCCUAAAAGAUUACUACCCAGAAGACCUGCCAUUCUCCCAAUUGGAACUUUGGAGUGUUUGGAGGCAAAAGAGCCACAGGCAGAAUUCAAUCAGGGGUUUGGAUAUGUUGCUUUCAGCAGGGAUUUGGAGUUUAUGGAAAGAGAGAAACAAACGAUGUUUUCAUUUUCAUGCUUUCCUCCAGAACCCCUUAGCUCAACGAAUCGCUUAGACUGUUCCUGAUCUAGUCUGAACAAACUCAGAAGACAGAGGAUAAUCAGGUUAUAUACCGGUGAGGCAAUCAAUCUUAAAUUUCUGAGGCACAUUGCGCUCUGGCACCAUAACUAAUCAACAAACACCCUCAUAACUGGAAAACAGAUAGCUUCGUAUAUCUGAAGUCUGGUUGAAGUUUGCCUGCGUAGCACAUGAUCACUUCCUGUUGUUCUGUUGUGAUGUUCAUUCUUUUUGGAGUCGCACAAUUUCACACGACACAAAUACAAUGUAUACAAACUGACGUGAAUUUUGAGUAUGCGAAUGGUGCUGCCACUUUCAAACUCAAAAGUUUGAUUUACAUAUUUGAGGUACUCAUGGGAAUUUCUGUGGGGUGUUAAGAAGCUGCUGUGAUGUUUGUGUUCAAAUUGUGCAGUGACAUAAAAUCUAGUAGACAAAUUUGAGUCUUAAAAGACACAAAGCUCGCCAUUCAAGCAUAUGUUUGAAAGGAGAACAACUUAUGAGAGAGUCAUGAUAAGGUUGUACUUCACCCUUGGCAUGCCUCAUCAUGAUGGACUACAAGCGAGCGAGACCUAGUUGGACCACUUGGAAUUAUUCUCAUAGCAAAUUUUAUACAGAAAACAUUAAGUUUCCUUGCUCUAAAUAAAAAUGCUAUUGCUUUCAAGAUUUUUUUA